rnacentral:rRNA from 1 species
AACGAACGCUGGCGGCAGGCUUAACACAUGCAAGUCGAGCGCCCCGCAAGGGGAGCGGCAGACGGGUGAGUAACGCGUGGGAAUCUACCCAUCUCUACGGAAUAACGCAUGGAAACGUGUGCUAAUACCGUAUACGUCCUUCGGGAGAAAGAUUUAUCGGAGAUGGAUGAGACCGCGUUGGAUUAGCUGGUUGGUGGGGUAAAGGCCUACCAAGGCGACGAUCCAUAGCUGGUCUGAGAGGAUGAUCAGCCACACUGGGACUGAGACACGGCCCAGACUCCUACGGGAGGCAGCAGUGGGGAAUAUUGGACAAUGGGCGCAAGCCUGAUCCAGCCAUGCCGCGUGAGUGAUGAAGGCCCUAGGGUUGUAAAGCUCUUUCACCGGUGAAGAUAAUGACGGUAACCGGAGAAGAAGCCCCGGCUAACUUCGUGCCAGCAGCCGCGGUAACAC